GUGCUGGAAUUCGCCCUUAGAGUUCGAUCCUGGCUCAUAUUGAACGCUGGCGGCAGGCCUAAGACAUGCAAGUCGAGCGAAAAAGUCCUUCGGGGUGAGUAAAGCGGCGGAUGGGUGAGUAACGCGUAGGAAUCUACCCAGUAGUGGGGGACAACUAGUGGAAACGCUAGCUAAUACCGCAUACGCCCUAAGGGGGAAAGCGGGGGAUCUUCGGACCUCGUGCUAUAGGACGAGCCUGCGUAACAUUAGCUUGUUGGUGAGGUAAUGGCUCACCAAGGCGACGAUCUUUAGCUGGUCUGCGAGGAUGACCAGCCACAACGGGACUGACAUACGGACCGGACUCCUACGGGAGGCAGCCACUCGGGAAUAUCGCGCAAUGGGGGAAACCCUGAUGCACCCAUGCCGUGUGUGUGAAGAAGGCCCU
rnacentral:rRNA from 1 species